UGAUGUUCGUGGGCGCUGUGCGGGGUAGUUGGGGGCUGGUGGGGUUGCGGGGUAGCGCCGCAGUCGCCGAGCAUAGAAAGCCUGAGGCCAAGGCCACUUAGGUCGGAGUAUUUCGAAUUAUGAUCACUUCGCUGAUGUAUUGCAGGAAUGCUUCUAUUUGUUCAGGCACCCCCAUGACUGUGGUACAACAGGCCCAUGGUUCCUCUCCGGAUCUCAUCACAAGUC